rnacentral:rRNA from 1 species
GAUGAACGCUGGCGGCGUGCCUAAUACAUGCAAGUCGAGCGAACAGACGAGGAGCUUGCUCCUCUGACGUUAGCGGCGGACGGGUGAGUAACACGUGGAUAACCUACCUAUAAGACUGGGAUAACUUCGGGAAACCGGAGAUAAUACCGGAUAAUAUAUUGAACCGCAUGGUUCAAUAGUGAAAGACGGUUUUGCUGUCACUUAUAGAUGGAUCCGCGCCGCAUUAGCUAGUUGGUAAGGUAACGGCUUACCAAGGCGACGAUGCGUAGCCGACCUGAGAGGGUGAUCGGCCACACUGGAACUGAGACACGGUCCAGACUCCUACGGGAGGCAGCAGUAGGGAAUCUUCCGCAAUGGGCGAAAGCCUGACGGAGCAACGCCGCGUGAGUGAUGAAGGUCUUCGGAUCGUAAAGCUCUGUUAUUAGGGAAGAACAAAUGUGUAAGUAACUAUGCACGUCUUGACGGUACCUAAUCAGAAAGCCACGGCUAACUACGUG